rnacentral:rRNA from 1 species
ACGAGCGGCGAUAGCACAGAUAUUGUACUAGUUCCCAAUAAAUCACUGAAGUUAAUCAACGUUGAACGUGGUUAAUAGCCGGAUGGGUGACCAUCUGGGCAAUCGCGUACCUACUAUUG